ensembl:lncRNA PVT1 Pvt1 oncogene
AUCGCAUCUGGAGGGAGAAGCCCAGCUCCUUAGCACAGCACCUGAGAAAUACCCUUUACAGUCUGGCCACUGGCUGAACAUUCUUUCACUCUCCAUGCCACACUGCUCUGCUACAGAGAAACAAGGAGACGGGAGAGCCUUGAAAUGGACCUUCAAGAUUACAAUGUGUAGCUGACAUUGUCAGUUAAGUUGGGCAGAUCUGACUUCGCUGAUUAAGUGGAUGUAUGAGCCGAUCCUCCCCAGAAGCUGGGAUCAGCUUCCCCAUCUGAUGAGCCAGUCUUGGUGCUCUGUGUUCACCUGGUUCAUCUGAGGAGCUGCAUCUACCCUGCCCAUGCCAUAGAUCCUGCCCUGUUUGCUUCUCCUGUUGCUGCUAGUGGACAUGAGGUAACCACAGCCUAGUUCUGUGAUAAGCUCUUCACACCUGUACCCAUAUGGACUGUGGGAGAGUUUCUCUGAUAUGGACUGUGAUGCGGAAGACAGUGAUGCACUGUAUUCAAGUGAUAGCCCCAGCAGUAACAUUGAUGCAGAGAAAAUGGAAUACUUUUUACAAGAGACCAGAAGACACAUGAAGCUAGAAAAAGGAGCCCAGAAAACUGCCACAUUUUGCCCAUAUAGAAAAGCAUAUCCCGACCGGGCACAGUGGCUCACGCCUGUAAUCCCAGGACUUUGGAAGCCCAAGAUGGGUGGAUCACAAGAAGGACAGAAUAACGGGCUCCCAGAUUCACAAGCCCCACCAAGAGGAUCACCCCAGGAACGCUUGGAGGCUGAGGAGUUCACUGAGGCUACUGCAUCUUGAGACUCAGGAUGAAGACCCAGCUUGGGGCUGUCAAAGGUUUUUUGCAUGUCUGACACCCAUGACUCCACCUGGACCUUAUGGCUCCACCCAGAAGCAAUUCAGCCCAACAGGAGGACAGCUUCAACCCAUUACGAUUUCAUCUCUGCCCCAACCACUCAGCAGCAAGCACCUGUUACCUGUCCACCCCCACCCCUUCCCCCAAACUGCCUUUGAAAAAUCCCUAACCUAUGAGCUUUGAAUAAGAUGAGUACGAACUUCAUCGCCCACGUGGCGUGGCCGGCCUCGUGUCUAUUAAAUUCUUUUUCUACUACAA